UACAGUUUAGAUUACAGUGUAGCAUGCAGAGUUUAUUAUAAGCAAUGCAGUUCUUCAUUUCUUAGCUAGCGAGUAUUACUUUAAAGAAAAUAGGAUAAAUAUUAUGUAAUUAGUUCAGGGAAAUUCGUGUAUAGCUGCAUUUCAGAGUACCCUCGUUUCAGAUCCAAAUGAUGACAAAGAAAAUGAAUUGUUUCCAUAUGUUAGGAGAUAGCCUGACAGUUAUGAGCAGAGAGCUAAGGCAUAAAAAUGCAAGGGGGCUCCCAUCGAACGGGAAGAAGCAAAAGCAGUACAUGUAGAAUUGCUAGCUGUGAUGUGAAGGUGCUCUGAAGGUACCAUCAUGACCUACAGAGAAGGAGAAAUGGGUGGUUUCAUGAGAAGGAAGGCAACAGGGCAACACUUGCUUUGAGUUCUGUGCUUUGAUUCUGCUGAUGUCCAAUAAGACAAGAGUUUUGACUGCAGCUUUCAUUACUCCAUGUCUGUUUGGGCAUUCAUGAGGUCUUUUGGGAUUCUCUGAGGUCUAAGAAAGGCUUGUGUCCAUGCCGAUGCCAUUCCUUCAAGGCAAGCAUCAAGAAGCCUGCCGCCCCUACCCGGCCACCUACCGUCACGAAGCACAUGGGAACCUGGUACCCUCAAGACCUCUAUCUUUCUGCCAAAAUUGGUUGAAACUGGCUAAUGAGCUCACAAGUUAUUUUCUUUGGGAUGGAGAGGGGGCAGACAGACGCACUCCUCGGGAACAUAAAUGCCUGCAUCUCAUGUCUGCUGGAAGCCGACACAAAAAUCUCCGUAUUAAGCUUAUCGUAUAAAUUAUAUAUGCAUGUAUUUUACAGAGAAAGAUUUAUUGCCUUCAAUAUCUAGGCAUUUUAUGCUUUUGAAGUCAUGCAUACUUUGAUCCAACAAAUACUUACACUUACAAGUCACUUGGUGUGCUGAGGGUUCAGUGAGGCUGCUUUCCCUGAGUAAAGCAAAGUCCCAAAGAACAGAAGGGUGAUCAAUAGCAGAUGAUCCACGUGCUUUCUCUGUGGUCUCUUCUGUCUUCAGGGCUCUGCUAAUUCAAAGGGUUAUAAAAGCAUUAUACCCUAUAAGGGGUGUAGUGCCCGUUAGAACCUCUGAGUGCUCGUGGCUGGCCUAUUCAACGCUCUCAGCCGGUGUGACUCAGUGACUUCCACCCUUUUUGAAUUGGUGGAUACGCAACUUUUUCCAGUUAUUUUGAAUCUAAUGAGCAUGCUUUUCUUCAUUUCUUUUUCACAGGCCUGCCUAUUAUUCUGUGGAUGAAAAUUCACACGUCCACAGUGACUGUAAUAUUAAAUUCCUGUGUAUCUGUGGUCUUUCUUGAGGUGCCUGAUAGUCAGCAGCUUCCUUCUGUCUCUUUGUCGAGCAAUUCCAGUGCAACAAUUACCAUGAAUCAUCCAUUUUGUAUAUAUCUCAAUGUCUGGCUGGGCUUAUUUUCACAUGAAUGCACGUCCCACAGUACUGCUUGGUAGCUAGGAGCAAAGUGGGGUCAUAUAUUCUGCAGCAAUGACAUGAUUGCAUUUUUGUUUCUUUUUUUUUUCUUUGCUCUCCUUGAUUUGACCUAUCACCACCAUUGUGAGAUGCACUGCAAUAUUUGCCCAUCUGAGGACAGGAAAACCUAGUGCAAAUCCUAGAAAGUGGAAAUUGCCCUACGCAUGGCAGAGUGGAGCAAGCAGCCUCCUCCACCCACCCAUCACAAAGCAGGAGCCUUUCUUUCUAAAGAGAGCCUGACAAGCCAGGAAAUGCCAUGUCCCCUCAUUGCUGGGAUGCUUCCAAUAAAAGAAUUGUGAAACUAUUCCCAUCGGUGGCCUGUCCUCUACCCACAACAGUGACAGAGAAGACUGUUUGAUUUCCAUCAGCAGAAUAAUAUGAGUGUGGACGCCACUGCCACAAAUUUAAGAAGGAUCUCCAGUUGCUGCUUGCCAAAGAAACAGUUUUCUUUCACUGUUCCUGUUUCAGUGCAUGGUCUGGGGGUUUUCAGCCCUCAAGUGGAGAUGCCGCUGGUGUGAUGACAGCUUGAGCAGCAUGAAGCUCCAGAAGAGCUUGAACAGAAAGGGCUGUGUUUGCAAAGAGGUGGGUCAGCUGUGUCUCUGGAGAGCUGCAUGCAGAGCCAGACCCGACCUCUUCUCAGUGAGGUGGAAGCAAAUGUUGGUGCUUUGGGUCUGUCCACAUCUACAAGCAUGCGUGAGGUCCCUUGCCGUGGUUCAGCUGAUGUGGGGCAUCUUGCUCAACAGUUUGAGAGUCUCAGCUUGCAAAUAUUGAAGGAGAUAAAUGGUUAAAAGAAAACCAAAACAACCAUACCCAAAAUAAACAAACCAACCCCAAACAAACAAAUGAAACCUCAAAACAAACAAAGAACUCAAAACAAACAGCCAAAACCUUCCCUACCCCCUCUCCCCCCCAAAAAAAUGAAGGAAGGAACAAGGAACCCUGGUGAUCACAGCAGGAUCUGCAAGGCUCACACUGGAGAGGACAGGUAUGACAGGGGCACGUUUAGCACCUGGCUGCUCUUUACAUCACAGGGCAGAAAUAUGAAAAAUAUGAAAUAUGCAGCAGGGUUGGAUGAAAAGGAAAAUGUAAUGAGAGUAGGAGAAAGAAUGCCACAUGCUCCAACCGCAUCUGAACUUGGCAGCAGCAGCCCAGGGAAGCCCAUGUAAAUCCUAGAAGCAUGUUAAAGGCAUUUUCACCCCACAAAGACUGACAUGCAUGAAAAGUAUUGUUUCAACAAUGUCAGUCAAGAGCCUGGAGAAAUAAUUUGCUAAUAUACUGCCUAGAAGCCCAACAUGGCUAAUUGGAGGGAUGUUCACAUCUUGGAAUGGAGACUACUUGGGAACAGUCUUCCAAUGGGGUAACGAAGUGCAAAGAAGUAAAGGCUGUGUGAACAAGAUGGUGUGUCGAUGCUGCAUUUACACAGCAAAGUGAGAGAUUUCCUCAAGGAGCACAAAGAAAACAUGACAGCAGAGAGAAAACACAUGUACAUGAAGCAUAGGCAAUACAACGUAAGGACAGACUGAGGGAUGUUGUAGAGAAAGACAUAACUGAAAACGCUCGGAAUAUUGCCUAUGUCAUGUGCAAAGGAAGUUAUUAUCCAGCAGCACUGUGCCCAGGCAGAGCAAGCAUUCCUUCCAGUAAGGUUUAGGAGAUGAAUCCUCACUUCUGGGGGCAGCGUGGUCAUCCUUUGGGUUUCUUCUUGGCCUGUCCUUUGUGUACUGUAGACACAUCAAGAUCUGCAAAGGCUUAGCUACGCUGCUAUUUUUCCCUUAAAAAAUAUACUCUCUAAUUUAUUGAAUUACAGGAUACAUAUCAUUUUGCAUUAAAGGGGAUAUAGUGGAAUGCAUUCAUAUUCAAUUUGGCCGUUGCAGCAGAAUCACGGAAUCACAGAAUGGCCCGGGUUGGAAGGGACCUCCAGGAUCAUGAAGCUCCAAACCCAGCAGGAAAUACAACAAUAUCUUCCUAAAAUAAGGCAUUAUAAGUCUCUGUCAGCUCCCUCAAGUUGGCUUAGAAAUAGCUUAUGGACCCAUUUCCCCCAAAGAUCUGUGGAGGAUGGAUGAAUGGGAAGCAUCUGUAGGUGAGGAACUGUGUUACACAGGAAACAUUGCUCUGUCUUUAUGCUCAGCCUUUUUUUUUUCUUACAUUGCAGAUCUGAAAAGCCAUAAAGAAAAGUAUAAUUUGCCUGAUUCUUCUGGCUAGCUGGGAGAAUGAAUGAGCCCCACUGGUUCCUGAGGUGCAUUGGCCAUGCUGAUGGCAGGUUUGCUAAAUCUCAGGGGAGGGAUGCAGCUGUGACAGCGGGCAUCCAGGGUCAGGGGGGACACAUUUUGUCUUGGUGGAGCUUCAGCAGGUGGUGGAUUGAACCCAAGCAGGAUACGGAGGUCACAAGUCCAGGAUAACUUGCAAGUCCAACCCAAUCCAUGGGCAGUUCACCAGAGAACCAUGGAAUCCAGCCAUAAAGGCUGGAAAAGGCCUCUAAGAUCCCAAGUCCAACCCCAGCCCACCCCAUCAUGCCCACUAGUCAUGUCCCCCCAGUGCCACAUCUCUUGAUGAGAUCUUCCUGAACACCUCCAGGGAUGGGGACUCCACCACCAUCCUGGGCAGCUUCUUCUAAUAACUCACCACCCUUUGCACUACUUUCCAUUCUGCUUCCAGUAAGACAGAGACAGAAAGUGGAGCUGAGCCUACUGAAGAACGAAGGACAGCCAACAUGUACUAGGUGCUCAUGCUUGAUGCCUGCAGGCCAGGUAAAUCCAGGGAGCAGUUGUAAAAGGAAGGGAAGUGCAGGGACAGUCGCAGCUGAUUCUCCCACUGGCUGUGGGGAAGGUACUGCACCUCCCUGCAGCUUUUAUUUAUCUCCUAGACUUUCUCUUGCAUGUUUAAAUUGCCGUGGCUUUGAAGGAGGAGCUGUGCUGUGCACUGUCCCAGCACCCACCAGGACGUCUAUUGGGACAGCUGCUCUCCUAUCCGCCCACCAAAUGGCUGAAUUCUCCAGCAAGGACAAAGACCUUAUUUAUGCUCAUGCCUCUCAAAGUACAUAUAUUUUAGUCCUGGAGGAUUUACUGGCAAUAAAGUUUUCUUCUGAGAUUCCUAAAUCACGAGGUACUUAGGCUCU
ensembl:lncRNA